GGCACAAACCUGAAAUAGAAUAGUUGGGUACGAACAGCUGAUCCUACUAAUCUACUCUACUUCAAGUUUGUGCCC
rfam:Haemonchus contortus, ISE/inbred ISE, WGS project CAVP01000000 data, contig: Hcontortus_42774